rnacentral:rRNA from 1 species
UACGUAGGGUGCAAGCGUUGUCCGGAAUUAUUGGGCGUAAAGAGCUCGUAGGCGGUUGGGUAAGUCGGGUGUGAAAACUCCAGGCUCAACUUGGAGACGCCACCCGAUACUGCUCUGACUUGAGUUCGGUAGGGGAGUGGGGAAUUCCUGGUGUAGCGGUGAAAUGCGCAGAUAUCAGGAGGAACACCGGUGGCGAAGGCGCCACUCUGGGCCGAAACUGACGCUGAGGAGCGAAAGCGUGGGUAGCAAACAGG